rnacentral:tRNA from 1 species
GGGCCCGUAGCUCAGUCUGGCCAGAGCACUUGGCUCUUAACCAAGGAGUCGCGGGUUCGAAUCCCGUCGGGCCCA